AGCAGCCGCGGUAAUUCCAGCUCCAAUAGCGUAUAUUAAAGUUGUUGCAGUUAAAAAGCUCGUAGUUGAAUUUCGGGGUUAGUAGGUUGGUCGUGCCACUGGUAUGUACUGGCUCUACUGAUCCCUCCUUCUUGUAGAACCGUAAUGCCAUUAACUUGGUGUUGCGGGGAAACAGGACUGUUACUUUGAAAAAAUUAGAGUGUUUAAAGCAGGCUAACGCUUGAAUACACUAGCAUGGAAUAAUGAAAUAGGACGCUCGAUCCUAUUUUGUUGGUUUUCUAGGAUUGACGUAAUGAUUAAUAGGGAUAGUUGGGGGCAUUAGUAUUCAAUUGUCAGAGGUGAAAUUCUUGGAUUUAUUGAGGACUAACUACUGCGAAAGCAUUUGCCAAGGAUGUUUUCAUUAAUCAAGAACGAAAGUAGGGGAUCGAAGACGAUCAGAUACCGUCGUAGUCUUAACCAUAAACUAUGCCGACUAGGGAUCGGAUGAUGUUAAUUUUUUAAUGACUCAUUCGGCGCCUUA
rnacentral:rRNA from 1 species